rnacentral:rRNA from 1 species
ACGAAGGGGGCUAGCGUUGCUCGGAAUUACUGGGCGUAAAGCGCACGUAGGCGGCUCUUUAAGUCGGGGGUGAAAUCCUGGAGCUCAACUCCAGAACUGCCUUCGAUACUGGAGAGCUUGAGUCCGGGAGAGGUGAGUGGAAUUCCUAGUGUAGAGGUGAAAUUCGUAGAUAUUAGGAAGAACACCAGUGGCGAAGGCGGCUCACUGGCCCGGUACUGACGCUGAGGCGCGAAAGCGUGGGGAGCAAACAGGA